GAUCCAUGGUGGCGGCUACUUCCCAGGUACUGGAAUAAAGAAAAUCUCCAGCCACAGCUUCUGGACCCAAAAUGGGGGUGGCGGAGAGUUCCCCAGUCCAGGCUUCAUUGGGGGCGGUGCAGCUGGCGGUAUAGCAGGUGGCGUCAUUGGUGGUGCAGCAGGUGGCGUGGCAGGUGCCGUCGGCGGUGGCCUGACUGGCGGCGUGAUCGGAGGCAUAAAGUCAUUUAGAUACUGGCCGCCACAGCAACACUUGUUACCACCGCUGCUUCGAUGAUCCGGGUUCAGCAAGACGAGUCCUUGAGACGCUCCUGUGACUAUGAAUAAUUCACGGCAACAAUGGUUAAAUACAAUGUCGU